GGCGCUGCUGGGCUCAGUGCUGCUGCUGCGGUCCAAGUCUCAACAAGGAAAACUCUGCAAAUCUCGCCAUGAAGCUGAUGAUGCUGAUGCUGGUGCUGCUGGGCGCCGCCUACACCGCCGAGGCGACAGGAGAAGUCCCGGAGUCACGGCAGACCAGUGAGUUAUUAUUAGUAAAUAUAUCAUAAGAAACAUUACGUUAUAAUAUUAGG
rnacentral:lncRNA from 1 species